AUGAGAGCUUCUGCUCAUCUCCUGGGGCUGCUGAUGCUCUGGAUCCCAGGUUCCAAAUGUGACAUCCAGAUGACCCAGUCUCCAUCUCAGACUGCAUCUCUAGGAGACACAGUCACCAUCAACUGUCAAGCCAGUCAGAGCAUUAACAAUGAAUUAAACUGGUAUCAGCAAAAACCAGGAAAUUCUCCUAAGCUCCUGAUCUAUGCUGCAUCCAGUUUGUAUCCUGGGGUCCCAUCGAGGUUCAGUGGCAGUGGGUCUGGGAGAGAUUUUACCCUCACCAUCAGCAGUGUCAAGGCAGAAGACAUUGCAACUUAUUACUGUAAACAGGACUUCAAUUACCCACCCACAGUGGAACGAAUCAUAACAUAA